GAUCAUUAACGCGCAGGCCGGAGGCUGGCCCCCCACGAUAGGGCCAAACGUCCGUCAGGGGUGAGCAGAUGUGCGCCGGCCGUACCGCCCCAUUCUUGUCUACCUUACUCGGUUGCCUCGGCGGGCCGCGCUCUCUCAGGAGAGCCGUUCGGCGAGCCUCUCUUUAGUGGCUCAACGCUGGACCGCGCCCGCCGGAGGACAGACGCAAAAAAAUUCUUUCAGAAGAGCUGUCAGUCUGAGCGUUAGCAAGCAAAAAUCAGUUAAAACUUUCAACAACGGAUCUCUUGGUUCCGGCAUCGAUGAAGAACGCAGCGAAAUGCGAUAAGUAAUGUGAAUUGCAGAAUUCCGUGAAUCAUCGAAUCUUUGAACGCACAUUGCGCCCCCUGGCAUUCCGGGGGGCAUGCCUGUUCGAGCGUCAUUUCAGCCCCUCAAGCCCGGCUUGUGUGAUGGACGACCGUCCGGCGCCCCCGUCUUUGGGGGUGCGGGACGCGCCCGAAAAGCAGUGGCCAGGCCGCGAUUCCGGCUUCCUAGGCGAAUGGGCAACAAACCAGCGCCUCCAGGACCGGCCGCCCUGGCCUCAAAAUCUGUUUUAUACUUAUCAGGUUGACC
rnacentral:misc_RNA from 1 species